GACGAACGCUGGCGGCGUGCUUAACACAUGCAAGUCGAACGGUAAGGCCCUUCGGGGUACACGAGUGGCGAACGGGUGAGUAACACGUGGGUGAUCUGCCCUGCACUUCGGGAUAAGCCUGGGAAACUGGGUCUAAUACCGGAUAGGACUCCUGCCUGCAUGGGUGGGGGUGGAAAGCUUUUGCGGUGUGGGAUGGGCCCGCGGCCUAUCAGCUGGUUGGUGGGGUGAUGGCCUACCAAGGCGACGACGGGUAGCCGGCCUGAGAGGGUGACCGGGCCGAGUGGGACUGGGAGACGGCCCAGACUCCUAAGGGAGGCAGGAGUGGGGAAUAUUGCACAAUGGGCGCAAGCCUGAUGCAGCGACGCCGCGUGAGGGAUGACGGCCGUCGGGUUGUAAACCUCUUUCAGCACAGACGAAGCGCAAGUGACGGUAUGUGCAGAAGAAGGACCGGCCAACUACGUGCCAGCCGCCGCGGUAA
rnacentral:rRNA from 1 species